CCGCGAAUUUUGUUUUGUACUUUCUCACCCAAACAUUUAAAUUCCCUUCAUGAUCCUACAGUGACCAAAAUUAGGGUUUCGGCUCUGCAAUGGUGGGCAUGAUGAUGAUGACCACCGCCAAUUCCAACGAACACCUCACCCGCCUCAUGGACUCCGCCGUCGUCGCCGCCGACAUACCGUCCAAGCUCGACCGGUUAACCCAAUUGAAGCGAGAUUUGCUCCGGCGAGACCCCGCUUUCAUCUCCGAGCUCCUCCCCCGCCUCUUCGAGCUUCAGUCCGACCGGUUCAGUCCCGUCCGGAAAUUCGCCACCGAAAUGCUCGGCGAAAUUGGAUUGCUGCACGUAGAUUUGUUGCCGGAGAUUGUGCCGUCGUUGAUUAAUGUGUUGAGUGAUGGCACACCGGCUGUGGCUCGCCAGGCCAUUACUAGCGGCACUGAGUUGUUUCGCUGCGUUAUGGAGAAAGUUGCACUUCAGGGUCUACAUUCUAGUGAGAUGGACAGUUUGCUUGAGUCAGCGUGGUCUUGGAUGUUGAAGUUGAAGGAGGAGAUAUUCUCGAUAGCUUUUCAGCCAGGAAGCGGCGGAGUAAGGCUGCUGGCACUGAAAUUUGUCCAAGCAGUUAUUCUUCUUUACACUCCUGAUCCUAAUGGCUCCCAAGAGCCCCCAGCUCAUGAAGGACACUUGGUGGAAUUUAAUAUAUCUUGGCUUCGUGGCGGUCAUCCCCUACUCAAUGUUGGAAAUUUGUCAAUGGAGGCUAGUCAAAGUUUGGGCUCAUUGCUUGAUCAACUAAGGUUCCCAACUGUGAAGUCUCUUGGUAACUUGGUCAUCGUUGUGCUUAUCAAUAGUCUUUCAGCAAUUGCGAAGAAUAGACCUGCCUUCUAUGGUCGCAUUUUGCCUGUGUUACUUGGGUUUGAUCCCUCAACUGCUGUCAUUAAUGGGAUACGUGUCUCAGGAGCACGCUAUGCCUUAAAAAACGCCUUCAUCACCUGCUUAAAAUGUACUCACCAGGGGGCUGCACCUUGGCGAGAUCGUUUAGUUGGGGCGUUGACCAAGAUGAAAACCGGAGGUUUGAUAGAGCAGGCCAUUUAUCCAGUUUGCAAUAUUAAUGGAAGUGUGGCAGAGAGUCAAAACAAUUCUCCAGUUAUUAAGGAAGAGGAGCCCACAACAUCUACUCCUAUCCAAAGUAACUUUGGGAGAAAACGGUUGGGAGCACCGGAUAGUAGUGGACUUGCUGAGGAUGCAGACGCCUCUGGAAAACGUAUCAAAACAACACCUAGUGUUUCAGAAGAAUCUGCCAAAGAUAUUGAUAGGAAUUUUUCUGCGUCUCAAGAUGACAUUUCUUCAAGUGGAACAGCCACUUCCAGAGGAAGUGGUGAUAGUGGACCCGUGCAGCAACUUCUUGAUAUGUUUGGCGCAUUGGUUGCUCAGGGUGAAAAAGCGGUUGGUUCUUUAGAGGUUCUUAUCUCAAGUUUCUCUGCUGACAUGCUAGCUGAGGUAGUGAUGGCUAACAUGUGCAACCUUCCUCCCAAUCUUCCUGGCGCGGAAGGAGAUGAUGUAUCUUUGAUAAACAUGGGUAUAGCCGGCGGUGAUUCCCGAGUCAAAUAUCCCCAAUCAUUUAUUGCCGAUGUUCUCUCUCUUAAGAGUACUUUUCCCCCAAUAGCUGCACUUCUAGAUGCUCAUCAGUUGGUGUCUGAUAAUAUACUGAAAUCUGAACCGGGGGAAGAGCAGGUUGCAAUUGGUGAUAAUGCUGUUGCAUGUACUGACAUGGAUUAUGAAGCUGAUACUGCUAUGUUGCCUAAUGUUUUUUCACCUGAGAUGGAGAACGGUUGUCCAUCUCUUCCGUCUGAUGUUGAUGACAUAGACGGUCUUGAGAAUGAAAUACCCGGGCUCGAUUCUUCUGUUUGUAAUAGUGGAUUAUCAGAACCUGUGGUCGCAUCCUCUUCGACCUUCAUGGAUGAAGAUGCCAGUGUAGAGCAAGUGAGCAGUUUGAGUCAGCAGCCACUACUUAAUGUACUUCCAUCAUUGUCUGCAGAUAAGUCUGAGGAGCUUAGCCCAAGAGGAGCUGUUGCAGAUGUCAACAGCCUGAUAUCUUCAACAGCAACAUCAGUUGGGUUGUCCCAUCAUCUUGUCCUGCCCAAGAUGUCGGCGCCAGUUGUCAUCCUUUCUGAUGAAGAGAAUGAUCGUUUACAGAAAUUGGCUUUUACCCGCAUAAUCGAGGCAUAUAAGCAGAUUAAUGAUUCUGGGGGUUCCCGAAUUCGAUGUUCUCUCCUUGUACAUUUAGGAGUUGAGUUCCCCUUGGAGUUAGACCCCUGGAAACUGCUGCAAGAGCAUAUCCUGGCAGAUUAUACAAAUCACGAGGGACACGAGUUGACGUUGCGUGUCCUAUACAGGUUAUUUGGAGAGGCAGAAGUGGAACACGAUUUCUUUUCUUCUACAACCGCUACUUCUGUUUACGAACAUUUCCUUUUAACUGUGGUAGAGACUCUUAGAGAUUCUUUACCACCAUCAGAUAAAUCAUUAAGUAGAUUGCUUGGUGAGGUUCCAUCUUUACCAAAUUCAGUUUUGAAGUUAUUGGAGUGCAUGUGUUCACCUGAAAAUUGCGACAAAACUGAGAAGGAAAUACAAGGUGGGGAUCGGGUGACUCAAGGUCUCAGUACUGUGUGGAGCCUAAUUUUGCAGAGGCCCCCUUUCCGAGAUGGCUGCUUAAAAAUUGCUUUACAGAGUGCAGUUCAUCAUCUGGAGGGAGUGCGUACUAAAGCUAUACGUCUGGUUGCAAACAAGCUUUAUCCGUUGUCUGCCAUUGCCAAGCGAAUAGAAGAUUUUGCAAUUGAAAUGUUGCUUACUGUGAAAACUGAUGAUGCAACUGAAAGAACAGAUGCUGAUGGAUCAAAAGUUGAAUCCCAAAAGGUUCUAACACAUGCAUGGUUCCACUCAGUGAGUGGCAACCAAGAUAACUCCUCUGACACCCAUCAAUCAGGCAAUUCUCAAAGUGUGUCGCUUUCAAUUGGUGAGGCAGAGAGGUGUUUGUCAUUGUAUUUUGCUCUGUGUACAAAGGUUUGAUUUUCUCUGAAACUUAGUUUUCUUCUUUUGUUCAUUCAGAAUAAUUUAAUAUUCGCUGUUUAUGGAAAUGCAUCAAAGGCGGUUAAACAGGCAGUUAAUAAUGAUAUUCCAAGACUAGUGCGUACAAUGGGUUCGUCACGAGAUCUUCUUGAUAUUAUUUCAGAUCCUCCGGCUGGAAGCGAGAACCUUCUGAUGCAGGUUUUGCAUAUACUAACAGAUGGGACAGUUCCCUCUGACGAGCUGAUACUUACUGUUAGGAAGUUAUAUGAUUCAAAACUGAAGGACAUAGAGAUUCUCAUUCCGAUAUUACCAUUUAUACCAAAAGAUGAGGUUAUGUUGAUCUUUCCCCAACUUGUAAAUCUUCCACUGGAUAAGUUCCAAGCAGCACUAAAUCGCAUACUACAGGGAUCAUCCCACUCUGGUCCUCUUCUGGCUCCAGCUGAAGUCUUGAUUGCUAUCCAUGGGAUUGAUCCUGACAGAGAUGGAAUUCCAUUAAAGAAGGUCACAGACGCAUGCAAUGCAUGUUUCGAUCAGCGACAGAUAUUCAACCAACAAGUUAUUGCUAAAGUUCUGAAUCAAUUGGUUGAGCAGAUUCCCCUUCCUUUACUGUUCAUGCGUACAGUCUUGCAAGCUAUCGGUGCUUUUCCUGCACUGGUGGAUUUUAUUAUGGAGAUCCUUUCUCGACUUGUGAGCAAACAGAUAUGGAAAUACCCAAAGUUGUGGGUGGGAUUUCUGAAGUGCACAUUCUUGACAAAGCCUCAGUCGUUUGGCGUGUUGCUUCAGCUUCCUCCAGCCCAGCUAGAAAAUGCAUUGAAGAAAAAUGCAGCUCUGAAAGCACCCUUAGUCGCCCAUGCUAGCCAACCAGACAUCCGAUCUUCACUUCCGAGGUCUAUAUUGGUAGUUUUGGGGAUUGUUUCAGAUUCUCAGGCACAAACAAGUCUGGCAAAAACGGGAGAUGCAAGCAACUCAGACAAGGAGGCAGUCACAGAGAAAUCAAAAGAAGAAUCAUCUAGUGCUUGUUGAAAUGCCAAAGUGAAACUUCAGUCUACCAAGAGGCACCACCAGCUGAGUUCCAAGCUCCUAACUACACAGUAAAUAUGCUGUACUCUAUAGAAAGGUCAGUCAUCAGGUUUUGCUUUAUCAGAUGGCCAAAGCAAGCUGAUGGAGAACUGUAUCGUAGAGAUAGAGAUGCAUGUAUCAAAGAACUACUGCAUUUUCAGAAACAGCGAGGCAUAGAUGAUCAUAGAAAGAAAUAAGCAUUUAUGUAACAUUAGACUGGAUUGUUCAGCAAUUUUCGGAGUGAAAUUGAUAUUGUUUUCAAUAUUCCUGGCAACUUCGGUUGAAUGUUUUUGUUAUUUUGCGAGGCUUUUGUUUUCUGUUGAUGAACCUUGUAUGGGUACUCUAUGAAGAUUACUGUCGAACCUAUGGUUAAUGCUAG